rnacentral:rRNA from 1 species
GAUGAACGCUGGCGGCGUGCCUAAUACAUGCAAGUCGAGCGAACAGAUGAGGAGCUUGCUCCUCUGACGUUAGCGGCGGACGGGUGAGUAACACGUGGAUAACCUACCUAUAAGACUGGGAUAACUUCGGGAAACCGGAGCUACUACCGGAUAAUAUAUUGAACCGCAUGGUUCAAUAGUGAAAGACGGUUUUGCUGUCACUUAUAGAUGGAUCCGCGCCGCAUUAGCUAGUUGGUAAGGUAACGGCUUACCAAGGCAACGAUGCGUAGCCGACCUGAGAGGGUGAUCGGCCACACUGGAACUGAGACACGGUCCAGACUCCUACGGGAGGCAGCAGUAGGGAAUCUUCCGCAAAGGGCGAAAGCCUGACGGAGCAACGCCGCGUGAGUGAUGAAGGUCUUCUGAUCGUAAAACUCUGUUAUUAGGGAAGAACAAAUGUGUAAGUAACUAUGCACGUCUUGACGGUACCUAAUCAGAAAGCCACGGCUAACUACGUG